GCUGAACAUGGAACACAAACAUUUAUAAAUCUGCUUAAACAAAUGACGAAAACAAAUAAACAACACAAACCCAACCCGUUUUACUAGAAACCAUAAUGGUAACUUUGAUCUGUAGUCACAACCAUGAAAUGGCACAGGAUUCUCAAAUCCAUAGAGCAGUCGUCAUAGUCCAGAACUAAUUUAAAUAUUCUUACAGUUUCAGAAAGAACAGAAAUAUGCCAUGUGGGAAACAUGAAGACAAUUUUGUACCUUUGAACUCUUCAGGAAAGAGGUCUGUGUUGUAGCUAUUUCCAGGAGAAAAUAUGAUGUUCAGAGCAGCAAGUCAGAGAAGAAUUCAGCUUUUUCAAAGGCUUCCCUUUCAGAAGUAGGACUAAGUAUGAAAGAGCCUGAUGUACCUACAAGUGUGUGCAGACUAAGAACUGACAGAAGUUGCUGGAUCCAGUUGCAUUUCCUUGGUCUUACGAAUGCAUUACUGGAAGAGGAAGUAAGAACAGGGAGUCAGCACCAUGUGGCCAUUCUGCUGUCUUUGAAUGGUUGAUGUGUUCCAGAGAUCAUUCUGGUAAAUGUCUUGGGAUCAUUCUGCAAGGUCUUCAUAGAAGUUCAGUUCUGGUCACGAAGUUGUAUUUGGAUGCUGCAAUUUCAAUUUUCAAGAAGACUGGAACAUCUCAGUAAAAUCUCCUUCGGAUAUGUGACAUAUUGUUAAAAUAUGUUAACAUACUGUUAAAAAAUGUCAUAUGUCCUACCACAGUGCUAUUGUUUCACUCUCGUUGUUUGUAUGGACACAGAAAAAAAGCAAUGGAGAAUUAUGCAUUUGGUUUUGGUACCAGACUUCUGAUUGUUGCACUCCUGUCUAGUUAUUCUAUCUAGCUGGUAUAUCAGAUAUCAGACAUUAUGAUAUUAAACUCUGUGGUUUGUAUUUAAUAUCUAAAAUAAAAUUUGCAGUACAAUAUAUAUCAUUGCAAAGUGAAUGAAGCAAAUUUGGUGUGUGCUUAUAUCCAAGUUAUAUAUAUAAAUAAAUAUAUAUAUAUAUAAAUAGCUUCUUCCAACUCUUCCCCCUCCAUGCAGUAGCUUGAUUUGACUUGGUGGCCAGAAGCUUAUUAGCAUUAAGGAAUAUAGUAUUUUUGAGCCAGAGGAGGAGUGAGAAAUAUUGCUUUCUGCACAUCUGUCAAAGGGCAGAAAGAAUGAAAAAGGGAAGUAAAUGAUAGAAUGUGAAAAAUAAAUUUAAAAAACCCCAACAAAAUAAACAGUAAGACAAACAUAAACCCAACAAGUGCUACAUACUUUAUAUCCUGGCUGUGAGGUGACAGUACCAAGUCUGUACCAAUCAAGUUGCUGUGAUCUUACAAUAUUUGAGAGUUGGUCUUCCCACAGAUGGCUACCAGCAAAUUCCAGGAUUUAUGAGAUGGUGUGGAGUUACCUAGCCUUCUAUCAUAUCUACCAUGUCCAUGGGUGAAAAUCCUAGUUCUUCUCUGUGUGAUUGAAAGGUUCAGUUGGCCUUUUGUGUUUCCAUUUUGUGUGACAGUAGAGCAAUGAACAACUUUCUUGUUUUGCCAUGAAGAUGAGCGGCAAUGUGCUCAGGUGUGAGUAAGUGUUGUAGCCCAGAUGUUCACACAAACACCUACAAGGAAGCCAAGUUUGAUAACAAAGUGUAAGAGUGCAGUUUGGAGACCUCAAACUUUGCAGAAGAUAAUUCUAGUGUUCCAGAGGAUGAGCUAAGUGCAUGAAAUCAGUGUGUCUCAGUAAAGGAUGCCAACUGUGGAAAAAGUACAUCAGCCUAAAUGCAUGCAAGACACUCAGUCUUAGGAAAAAAGCUUAUUCUUAAACCUAAUUCUCUGUCAAUGAACCUUAGUUCAUGCGAACAGUAUCAUUUUAACAAAAACUUGGAUUUAUUGCCCUACGCUGUAAGAGCAAGGACAUGAAAAUCUGGUUGAAGGAAGUGAUUAUUCUCUUCUAUUUGGCAUGUGCGAGUUGCUCCUGGAAUACUGUUUAAUUCUGGCUCCCCAGUACAAGAAACACGUUGAUAUACAAGAAUGACUCUGGAGAAAAUAAUGUCAGGGAUACUAGAAUGUGUUGUAUGCAAGGAGCAGCUGAAAGUUGGGUUUGUUUAGCCUGAGGAUAAAACCAUGGGAGGAUCUUACUGCUGUCUGAAAUUAUCUGAUGCUUAGUUUAUCUGAUGCUUAUCUUAAUAAGACAAAACUCAACUCUUCUAGUAGGUGCACAGUGAUAGGACAAGAAGCAUCAUAUCCAUGAUAAAGCAGGUUAAAUCCAAAUUAACAUAAGGAAAAAGUUUCAUGUUGAGGAUGGUUAGACAAAAGAGCUGAUUAUUUGUGCAGUCUUCAUCUUUGAAGAUACUCAGAAUUCAAGUAGAGAACCUCACCUGGUUGUUCCUGUUUUAAACCUUGUGUUCUCCAGAGUAGUUCCAGUGUGUAUUGCUCUUGGAAUCAAAUUUCAUGAUCUGCUAGGAAUGGUAUAAAAAGAAAAAGGGGAAGAAAAAGCACCUCCAGAAAGCCCAGUUGCUGUUUUGCAAGUGGUUAGCCUUAAGGGGUGUAUGACAUAGUUACCUGAUUAUGGAUGCUCAUUCCUCCUUCAGUUAAAUGUACCUUUUAUUUGUCAGAUGAAGCUAAAAUGAAAAAAUGUUCAGGGUGGUCCCAGCCAACAGCUUCAUUUCUCUCCACAUAGCUCUGAGACAUAAAAUUACUUUUCAGUGUUAUAUUUAUUCAGGGAGACUAUUUAUGUUGGAGAAUUCCCUCAGACUUUCUCAGCUUCCACUAGAAAAUAAAUGUGUUCAUUUGUUGUUGUGACACUACCUUUGAGAUGGCAAACAUAUUUUUUUAAUUUAUGUACACGUUUUAUAUAUGUAUAUAUAAACAAUAUCUAUGAAUUAAUUAAAACAGUACCUUUUUACUGUCUACUUUUAUAACACCUGGGUUGCAUGAGCAUUUAUUUCACAUGUAAAGUAUGAUCAUUGUAUUUCAUGUAUGUAGUCUUUAGCGUGAAGUGUUCUGGCACAAACAAAACAUGAUUUUCAUGCUAGUGUGGCAUUCAGACAGGAAGUUGUAUCCUUCCCUGCAAUAACAGAGAAAACAAACAGAUUGUUUAUACACCUGAGACUGAAAUACUUUUAAAGCUCUUUGCCCUUGCUUCUGAGCUGUCGGAGUCUAUAUUGUUUUGAUUCAUUUGCACAUUAUGAAGUAAUCUUGUGUGGAUAGGUAACUGAGAAUUUGUUGUUUCCCAGAAUUUCAGUCUC